AUGGUGUCAAUAAAGUUUUUGAGGUGUAUGAACGGGCAGUUCUUGCAGUUACUUAUUCAGUGUACAUAUGGUGUAAUUAUUGUCAGUUUGCGAUCUCAACAUACAAUGACCCAGAUGUCAUCAGAAUACUGUUUAAUCUGGGUUUGGCAUAUGUUGGAACAGAUUAUGGUUCCAAUACUUUGUGGGAUGAGUACAUCAAGAAUGAAGAAUCACUUCAAGCAUGGAGUCAUCUAG
rnacentral:rRNA from 1 species